CAGCCGCCACGGGAAUACAGAGGGUGCGAGCGUUAAUCGGAUUUACUGGGCGUAAAGCGUGCGUAGGCGGCUUCUUAAGUCGGAUGUGAAAUCCCUGAGCUUAACUUAGGAAUUGCAUUCGAUACUGGGAAUCUAGAGUAUGGGAGAGGAUGGUAGAAUUCCAGGUGUAGCGGUGAAAUGCGUAGAGAUCUGGAGGAAUACCGAUGGCGAAGGCAGCCAUCUGGCCUAAUACUGACGCUGAGGUACGAAAGCAUGGGGAGCAAACAGGAUUAGAUACCCCAGUAGUCCCUGUCUCUUAUAC
rnacentral:rRNA from 1 species